rnacentral:tRNA from 1 species
UCCUCGACCGUUCAGUGGUCAAGACUCUGCACUUCCAAUGCAGACGGCUCUGGUUUGAUCCCUGAUUGGGGAA